ACACGUCUGGAGUGAGCGCUCAUUACGUAUCCAACAUUGGUGGCGUACGUUUCGGUUUGGAUAAAUUCACGCGUGUCAGCGGUUCGAUACGAUUCGUUCAUUCGUCGAUUAUUUAAUGGAAAAAUACUUUCUUGUGCGAUAUCGCAUUUACGGUUGUUGAUUUAAAAAACAAAAUAAACUGAUUUUCGUGCGUGCUCAAUAGUAAUUUGCGUGCGCUUUUUUUUAUAAAGCGAAUUCUGUGAAACAUUGCGAGACUAAUGUUUCAACUAAAACAUAUGAAAAGUGAAUAUUUUUCGAAGUGAUUUCGAGUGGAGUGGGGUGUGAAUAUAAACGGGAAGAGCUUGCGUUUAAGUUGAUUCCUUAAAAGAGUACUAAAAAUCCGCGGAUUUCCACUUACUGUGAAUUUUUAUAGGAAAAAGCUUUCAUCUGCAUAAAAAAAUAGAUUUUUAAAAAUUAAAAAUAAACAAAUAAGCAAAAGUGACGUUUAAGAUAACAAAUUUACAUAUGCGUUUAUGGCCAAUUUAUACAAUAGUUGUGUCAUUUAUGCAAUAAUCGGUUGCAUAUUAAAUUCAAAUAUCCAAAAAUUCCAAGUGAAUAUGUACUAACGAGUUAACUGUUAAAAGUCAAACUAAACGGUACGGGCGUAAUACUACAAAGCGGCACAAAAAAAAUACAUGGAAAAUAUCAGUGCUAUUUGAAACAUAAGGCUAAAAAUAAUGCAAUCGAUUUUACUUUUCAAGCCUCAUGUUGAUUUAAUAAACCAAUAACAAAACAAUCCUAUGAAUCUGGCAUUUCAAACAUACACAAUUACAUACUAAAAAAAAGUUUUAUUUGAGAAAAAAAAGUCGAAAAGAUCACGUGUGCAAGAAAAAGUUUUAUUGCGGGUUAUUUUUACUAAAAAAAAAAAAUAUUAAAAAAUAAUCCGUAAAGUGACAAAAAACUUUUCUAUACCAGUAAAUCACAAUCUACCAGAGGAUACACAAUGGAGUAUAGAAUCCACUCAUAGGCAGCAUGUCGCCAUUUUGCGGAUAGCAUAACGUCAACUGGCUAACUGGCUACUCUUCGAUGAUUGCCACUAAAGCGAGCUUAUUUU